UUAAUGGAGAGUUUGAUCCUGGCUCAGGACGAACGCUGGCGGCGUGCCUAAUACAUGCAAGUCGAGCGGGGUUACUUAGAAGCUUGCUUCUAAGUAACCUAGCGGCGGACGGGUGAGUAACACGUAGGCAACCUGCCCACAAGACUGGGAUAACUACCGGAAACGGUAGCUAAUACCCGAUACAUCCUUUUCCUGCAUGGGAGAAGGAGGAAAGACGGAGCAAUCUGUCACUUGUGGAUGGGCCUGCGGCGCAUUAGCUAGUUGGUGGGGUAAAGGCCUACCAAGGCGACGAUGCGUAGCCGACCUGAGAGGGUGAUCGGCCACACUGGGACUGAGACACGGCCCAGACUCCUACGGGAGGCAGCAGUAGGGAAUCUUCCGCAAUGGGCGAAAGCCUGACGGAGCAACGCCGCGUGAGUGAUGAAGGUUUUCGGAUCGUAAAGCUCUGUUGCCAGGGAAGAACGUCUU
rnacentral:rRNA from 1 species